rnacentral:rRNA from 1 species
AGCGAACGCUGGCGGCAGGCCUAACACAUGCAAGUCGAGCAGCCGUAGCAAUACGGCAGCGGCAGACGGGAGAGUAACACGUGGGAACGCGCCCUUCGGUUCGGGAUAACUCAGGGAAACUUGGGCUAAUACCGGAUACGCCCUUACGGGGAAAGAUUUAUUGCCGAAGGAACGGCCCGCGUCCGAUUAGCUAGUUGGUGAGGUAACGGCUCACCAAGGCGACGAUCGGUAGCUGGUCUGAGAGGAUGACCAGCCUCACUGGGACUGAGACACGGCCCAGACUCCUACGGGAGGCAGCAGUGGGGAAUAUUGGACAAUGGGCGCAAGCCUGAUCCAGCCAUGCCGCGUGGGUGAUGAAGGCCCUAGGGUUGUAAAGCCCUUUCAGCGGGGAAGAUAAUGACGGUACCCGCAGAAGAAGCCCCGGCUAACUUCGUGCCAGCCGCCGCGGUAA